AAGUGAAUAUUUCCAAUAAGUGCCUCUACUUUUGAGGAUAAUAGGGAAUCGGGUGUAAUUCCUGAACGGUCCCGCCACUGUAAGCGAGGAGCGACUUAUCAUUUAACCACUGUUUUCUGUUCUUGGAGGAAUAAGAAGAUGGGAAGGAGAUAAGGAGCAUUGAUCCGCGAGUCAGGAAACCUGCUUGUUGGUACAGAUUGUU
rnacentral:ncRNA from 1 species